UGGGGAAUAUUGGACAAUGGGCGAAAGCCUGAUCCAGCCAUGCCGCGUGUGUGAAGAAGGCCUUUUGGUUGUAAAGCACUUUAAGCGAGGAGGAGGAGCUUCAGGUUAAUACCCUGGAUGCUUGGACCGUUACUCGCAGAAUAAGCACCGGCUAACUCUGUG
rnacentral:rRNA from 1 species